rnacentral:rRNA from 1 species
GACAGAGGGUGCAAACGUUGCUCGGAAUUACUGGGCGUAAAGCGCGUGUAGGCGGUCACGCAAGUCAGGUGUGAAAGCCCAGGGCUCAACCCUGGAAGUGCACAUGAUACUACGUGGCUGGAGUACUGAAGAGGAGAGCGGAAUUCCCGGUGUAGCGGUGAAAUGCGUAGAGAUGUGGAGGAACACCGAUGGCGAAGGCAGCCCCCUGGGUCAAGAUUGACGCUCAUGCACGAAAGCGUGGGGAGCAAACAGG